CAGGCUGCUGGUAUGUUUCAGCAUUGACAGGAGCAGUUGCCUUUUUUUCAGGUUUCAUUUCAACCCCAUGUUUUGGGAACUGUUUGGACCAGACUAAUCAGCUCUAAAUUCUGGAAUCUUCCACCUUCUUUAUCUUCAAAGGGAUGGUUACAUAUUCUGGCUAAGAUUGCGGAGCCGGAAGAGAAAGAGUCGUCAGGAACACGUUGGAACCAGAUUCAGGGCAUGAUAUGUACCCAGGGGGUCAUAAUGAAGCCUGGGCUGGAAAAAGAGUUUGAUAGUUCAACUUUCAUGAAAAAUGUGCAGUGGAAAGGAGUGAAAAAUCUGGUUUCCUUCUCCACUGUUUUCCAUUUCAGUAAGUAUUUCAAUUCUCUGGACAAUAAAAUAAGGGAGUGAGUACAUGAUAGAUGGCUGUCAAAG
rnacentral:lncRNA from 1 species